AGUGACAUUGGUGCGAAACAAUUGGCCAACACAUGUUGUAAUAAGCGGCACUCUGAUGCCAAGUCGGAGGCGUAUAAAGCUAAUCUUGACGUAAAGUAGCAUAUUCGCGGUGGCAAAAAAUGCAUAUAACAGAAACCAAUAAAUAAAAUGAGCAGCAAAAUAAAAAAAUUAAAAACGUUUGCACUCUUCACAAAUACGAAAGAUUUCAUACAAACACUUGAUUUUGGUCGUUCAGUUGCUCCGAUCUUAUAGUAAUCUGAUUAAAAAAUUUGUUUUCGAAGUUUGCAGCAUUGCUUUGAAUAUUAAGCCAUGAUAAGUUUCAUGAAGAUAUCUCGACAAAUAAAAAAGUUUUCCAUACAAGCACUUGAUUCCGAGCGGUCAGUUUGUAUAGCGGCUAUAUGCUAUAGUGGUGGAUUUAGGUUGAAAAAAAGUGCGAAGGGAAGUUCCUAUGGGUUAACAAUUACAGAUAGCACUAUAAUAAAAAAAUGACGCGAGAAAGCCGUCAUAGAUUGAUGUGAACUUUCAUGAAAAAGAAAUCGCGAAACACAUUGACUUCAAAAAACAGAUAGUCAACUGAAGCUUCAAAUAGUUGUAAGACCAGCUUAGUGAUAAGAUUAAUAAAUUAGGUUAAUUUUCCAGUCUGAGGCUUUAUGGAUUCCUUCUUUUUUUUUAAUGCCUUACGAGGCAUUACUACUUUCGAAAUGACUAUUUAACAACGGUGAGGAGUAUCCAGUUGACGUACUAAAAAAAUAAGGAAGGGAAGAGAGCAAGAGGAAAAGAGAGCAGGAGACAAAUGAGCAAGUGAAAUUAAAACUUGAUACUCUUAUAAGCAAUCUAGCUUAUGAAAAAUUUUACUUGAUCUGGCACUCCGCGCGCUAAUAUUAGAACUUAAGAAGCAAAAAGCUAUAAUACAGUUAUAAUUUAAAUUUAAAUUUUAAUCUAAAUAAGAAAUUUGUUUCUGGUUCAACAAUUAUAUCAGCGUUUCGCCUCAACACCAAUACCAAAUUGAUGGAUACCGCGCAAAGUAGCUGGGAACGUAGUCAUUUCCUAUAAGUUUUCACACGACAAAAAACCAAAACAGCAAAAAUAAAAUAAAACAGAAACUUUUGAAAUUUUAACAGAUAACUUUUGAAUGAAA